rnacentral:rRNA from 1 species
AACGAACGCUGGCGGCAUGCCUAACACAUGCAAGUCGAACGAGACCUUCGGGUCUAGUGGCGCACGGGUGCGUAACGCGUGGGAACCUGCCUUUAGGUUCGGAAUAACUCAGAGAAAUUUGAGCUAAUACCGGAUGAUGUCUUCGGACCAAAGAUUUAUCGCCUUUAGAUGGGCCCGCGUUGGAUUAGCUAGUUGGUGGGGUAAAGGCCUACCAAGGCGACGAUCCAUAGCUGGUCUGAGAGGAUGAUCAGCCACACUGGGACUGAGACACGGCCCAGACUCCUACGGGAGGCAGCAGUGGGGAAUAUUGGACAAUGGGCGAAAGCCUGGUCCAGCAAUGCCGCGUGAGUGAUGAAGGCCUUAGGGUUGUAAAGCUCUUUUACCCGAGAUGAUAAUGACAGUAUCGGGAGAAUAAGCUCCGGCUAACUCCGUG